AUAAGCGGAGGAAAAGAAAUUAACAAGGAUUCCCCCUAGUAACUGCGAGUGAAGCGGGAAAAGCUCAAAUUUAAAAUCUGGCGGUCUUUGGCCGUCCGAGUUGUAGUCUGGAGAAGUGCUUUCCGCGCUGGACCGUGUAUAAGUCUCUUGGAACAGAGCGUCAUAGAGGGUGAGAAUCCCGUCUUUGACACGGACUACCAGUGCUUUGUGAUGCGCUCUCAAAGAGUCGAGUUGUUUGGGAAUGCAGCUCAAAAUGGGUGGUGAAUUCCAUCUAAAGCUAAAUAUUGGCGAGAGACCGAUAGCGAACAAGUACCGUGAGGGAAAGAUGAAAAGCACUUUGGAAAGAGAGUUAAACAGUACGUGAAAUUGCUGAAAGGGAAACGCUUGAAGUCAGUCGCGUUGUCUGGGACUCAGCCUUGCUUUUGCUUGGUGCACUUUCCGGAUGACGGGCCAGCAUCGAUUUUGACCGUCGGAAAAGGGCUAGGGUAAUGUGGCACCUCCGGGUGUGUUAUAGACUUUAGUCGCAUACGGCGGUCGGGAUCGAGGAACGCAGCGCGCCGUAAGGCAGGGGUUCGCCCACUUUCGCGCUUAGGAUGCUGGCGUAAUGGCUUUAAACGACCCGUCUUGAAACACGGACCAAGGAGUCUAACAUACCUGCGAGUGUUUGGGUGGAAAACCCGAGCGCGUAAUGAAAGUGAAAGUUGAGACCUCUGUCGUGGAGGGCAUCGACGCCCGGACCUGACGUUCUCUGACGGAUCCGCGGUAGAGCAUGUAUGUUGGGACCCGAAAGAUGGUGAACUAUGCCUGAAUAGGGUGAAGCCAGAGGAAACUCUGGUGGAGGCUCGUAGCGAUUCUGACGUGCAAAUCGAUCGUCAAAUUU
rnacentral:rRNA from 1 species